ensembl:lncRNA
GGAACUUUAAGUUUUCCAACAUGGGAGCGUCAUCAUGGCCGAGGACUUUGCUGAGGGUUUCUUUUACUUUAAGAGUGAGAGAAAAGCAAGACGGUGACGGAACAACGACGUUUACAUCUUCGAUACGCUUCAAGAUGGCUUCUCCCGUAGACGGCUCUCUGGUCUUCACGUUGGUUUAUCCGUUUUAACAACGAAUGCAGUCUUCACAGGCGAAACCUAGGACUCAAACCAAGACAUUCGAGGUCUGAUCCAUGGAGACCCCACCUUGCAACGUACAGGACCUAAAGGAUCUGCUGCUAACGUCUUGGUGCCAGAUACCGCAGCACACCCUCAGAGGUCUUGUGGAGUCCAUGCCUCGACGGGUCAGAGCUGUUUUGUUGGAACAAGGAGGACCUACACACUAUUACGCAGGUGGUUUUAACGGUCCUCUGUGCUGAUGACUCGACUCAGUGGCCUGUUUCAGGUUUGAUGUGAUGUCUGGUUGUCGCUCGCUCAGUGUGUUGGAGCAGAGUAACUGUGUGAGUGGAAAGCUGAUGAACCGAACAUGAGGUGGAAGUGCGAAGCCAUUAUUAAUGACACCUAUUUCCC